rnacentral:tRNA from 2 species
GGGGCGGUAGUUAAGUUGGUUAUAACGCCUGCCUGUCACGCAGGAGGCCGCGGGUUCGAGUCCCGUCCGCCCCGCCA